UACGAAGGGGGCUAGCGUUGCUCGGAAUUACUGGGCGUAAAGCGCACGUAGGCGGCUUUCUAAGUCGGGGUGAAAUCCUGGAGCUCAACUCCAGAACUGCCUUCGAUACUGGAGAGCUCGAGUCCGGGAGAGGUGAGUGGAACUGCGAGUGUAGAGGUGAAAUUCGUAGAUAUUCGCAAGAACACCAGUGGCGAAGGCGGCUCACUGGCCCGGUACUGACGCUGAGGUGCGAAAGCGUGGGGAGCAACAGGAUUAGAUAC
rnacentral:rRNA from 1 species